rnacentral:rRNA from 1 species
GCGUGAGUGAAGAAGGCCUUAGGGUUGUAAAGCUCUUUCGCCUGCGACGAUGAUGACGGUAGCAGGAGAAGAAGCCCCGGCUAAUUCCGUGCCAGCAGCCGCGGUAAUACGGAAGGGGCUAGCGUUGUUCGGAAUUACUGGGCGUAAAGCGCGCGUAGGCGGCUUGGCAAGUGAGGCGUGAAAGUCCUGGGCUCAACCUGGGGACGGCGCUUCAGACUGCUUGGCUUGAGUCCGGAAGAGGGUGGUGGAAUUCCGAGUGUAGAGGUGAAAUUCGU